rnacentral:lncRNA from 1 species
UUUUUUCAAAAUUUUCUCCACCUGUUUAGAGAUUUUGCUUUUCAUUUCUAAUUAGGAAUUUACAGUUCCUUGACAUACUGAUUUUUACGAUCGUUUAGACUUUCAAGACAUUAUUUUUAAUUUACAAUCUGUGUGAACUGUCAAUGUGACUAUCUGUAGUCAUAGGUGGGUAUCAUUCACACUGAUAAAUAUUUUUGGCAACUGUGUCUAAUUGUGACUACUUUAUUGAGUAGAUUGUGAACCCUCUUUUAAAUGUCGUGAUAGUGAAUACGUGGAAUUAGUUUAAUCAGUGACCAAUGUCAAUGCAUUGGAAUUGACUCUUUAUGACCCGAACUGUAUCGUUUGUAUGUGAACAUAUCUACAGUAAAUGUGAAUUUCUAUGACCUGUGUUGAUUUAUUUGUGACUUCUUUAUCCUAAUAUCUGAUCAAUGCCACUCAUUGUCAAUAUGUCCACAUUGAAUGUGAAUAUGUUGUUUGAACUGAUCUAUGUGAC